rnacentral:rRNA from 1 species
AUUGAACGCUGGCGGCAGGCCUAACACAUGCAAGUCGAGCGGAUGAAGGGAGCUUGCUCCUGGAUUCAGCGGCGGACGGGUGAGUAAUGCCUAGGAAUCUGCCUGGUAGUGGGGGAUAACGUCCGGAAACGGGCGCUAAUACCGCAUACGUCCUGAGGGAGAAAGUGGGGGAUCUUCGGACCUCACGCUAUCAGAUGAGCCUAGGUCGGAUUAGCUAGUUGGUGGGGUAAAGGCCUACCAAGGCGACGAUCCGUAACUGGUCUGGGAGGAUGAUCAGUCACACUGGAACUGAGACACGGUCCAGACUCCUACGGGAGGCAGCAGUGGGGAAUAUUGGACAAUGGGCGAAAGCCUGAUCCAGCCAUGCCGCGUGUGUGAAGAAGGUCUUCGGAUUGUAAAGCACUUUAAGUUGGGAGGAGGGGCAGUAAGUUAAUACCUUGCUGUUUUGACGUUACCAACAGAAUAAGCACCGGCUAACUUCGUG